rnacentral:rRNA from 1 species
GACGGAGGAUUCAAGCGAUAUGCGGAAUUAUAGGGCGAAAAGUGUGCGUAGUAGGUCGGACAAGACCCAUGUCAAAGUAUGGUGCUUAACGCCAUAAAGGCGUGUGAAACUGUCAGACUAGAGUACAGCAGGGGCAGGAGGAAUUCCCGGUGUAGCGGUGAAAUGCGUAGAUAUCGGGAAGAACACCAGUGGCGCAAGCGUUCUGCUGGGCUGUAACUGACAAUGAGGCACGAAAGCUAGGGGAGCGAAAGGG